CCAUGAGGGAGUUAGGUUCAACAGCCUGUCAAACCAAGACAACGCCAUGAGGGAGUUAGGUUCAACAGCCAGUCAAACCAAGACAACGCCAUGAGGGAGUUAGGUUCAACAGCCUGUCAAACCAAGACAACGCCAGGAGGGAGUUAGGUUCAACAGCAUGUCAAACCAAGACAACGCCAUGAGGGAGUUAGGUUCAACAGCCAGUCAAACCAAGACAACGCCAGGAGGGAGUUAGGUUCAACAGCCAGUCAAACCAAGACAACGCCAGGAGGGAGUUAGGUUCAACAGCCUGUCAAACCAAGACAACGCCAUGAGGGAGUUAGGUUCAACAGCCUGUCCACCUUGUGCUUGUGUGGUGUGUAAAUGUUUGUGUGGUGUGUGUGUGUGUGUGUGUGUGUGUGUGUGUGUGUGUGUGUGUG